GACGAAGGGGGCUAGCGUUGUUCGGAAUUACUGGGCGUAAAGCGAGUGUAGGCGGUUGUCAUAGUCAGGUGUGAAAGCCUUGGGCUUAACUCAAGAAAUGCACUUGAUACUGGGCGACUAGAGGACCGGAGAGGAUAGUGGAAUUCCCAGUGUAGUGGUGAAAUACGUAGAGAUUGGGAAGAACACCAGUGGCGAAGGCGGCUAUCUGGACGGUUACUGACGCUAAGACUCAAAAGCGUGGGGAGCAAACAGG
rnacentral:rRNA from 1 species